GACGAACGCUGGCGGCGUGCUUAACACAUGCAAGUCGAACGGAAAGGCCCUGCUUUUGUGGGGUGCUCGAGUGGCGAACGGGUGAGUAACACGUGAGUAACCUGCCCUUGACUUUGGGAUAACUUCAGGAAACUGGGGCUAAUACCGGAUAGGAGCUCCUGCUGCAUGGUGGGGGUUGGAAAGUUUCGGCGGUUGGGGAUGGACUCGCGGCUUAUCAGCUUGUUGGUGGGGUAGUGGCUUACCAAGGCUUUGACGGGUAGCCGGCCUGAGGGGGUGACCGGCCACAUUGGGACUGAGAUACGGCCCAGACUCCUACGGGAGGCAGCAGGGGGGAAUAUUGCACAAUGGGCGGAAGCCUGAUGCAGCGACGCCGCGUGCGGGAUGACGGCCUUCGGGUUGUAAACCGCUUUCGCCUGUGACGAAGCGUGAGUGACGGUAAUGGGUAAAGAAGCACCGGCUAACUACGUG
rnacentral:rRNA from 1 species